GUAGGUGGCAAGCGUUGUCCGGAAUUAUUGGGCGUAAAGCGCGCGCAGGCGGUCCUUUAAGUCUGAUGUGAAAGCCCACGGCUCAACCGUGGAGGGUCAUUGGAAACUGGGGGACUUGAGUACAGAAGAGGAAAGCGGAAUUCCAAGUGUGGCGGUGAAAUGCGUAGAGAUUUGGAGGAACACCAGUGGCGAAGGCGGCUUUCUGGUCUGUAACUGACGCUGAGGCGCGAAAGCGUGGGGAGCAAACAGGAUUAGAUACCCUGGUAGUCCACGCCGUAAACGAUGAGUGCUAAGUGUUAGGGGGUUUCCCGCCCCCCUUAGUGCUGCAGCUAACGCAUUAAGCACUCCGCCUGGGGAGUACGGCCGCAAGGCUG
rnacentral:rRNA from 1 species